rnacentral:lncRNA from 1 species
AGACUAGGGGUGAGGCUGCUGCGAGGAAGACCCGGUCAGCUGUCCCUUCCCCCAUCGGUCCUCUUAGGGGAAGUGGAGAUGUGGGCCUCGGAGCUGCGUGGCCCGGGCUGUGCGGAUUCCCUAAACGCCGCACUUGCGCACAGCCCCUUACGUAACCGUCAGUGCCGGGGAUUCCCUGGAGGGGGUCAUUCUAUUCAACCAUUAUACACACCCCGGGCUCCUGCCGCCGCGCCGCCGCCGCCUCACAAAAUGGCGGCGCCCAUAGAGGAGACCGCGGCCGCCUCCCCGGCCCCAUUUUGUGGGAGGCGAGAGAUCUGUCAACAUGGAAAACCUCUGCUGAGGAUGCAUCCGAGUUUGGAAACCCCACUUAAGGGAUGGAGCCUGGGGGAUCACAUUAAACGGAAAAUGCCAACGACUUCUACCACCUCUACGCGUUUUUAGUUUUUCAUUUUCUCGAAGGAAGCGCCAGAAGCCUGUGGAGUAAUUGUAACUAGAGGGAGAACGGAAAGCUGAGGUGACUGCUCCGGGGACUUGGCGCGGCGCCUUGGUGGCUUUGGUUGCUCUUCCACGCUCCCGGCAGCUGACCAGAAUCUCUUGGAGGGUCUCCUGGGCCACCUCGGCCGCGCCAGUCGUGCAGUGAGACUUCUGUAGUUUUAAAAUGCCACAGUCCACGGCCCGGUCGGCACCGCUCGCCUGAAUCGUGGGCUUUGGGAACCUUGGAGGCUGCUGCUCCAGGAACUCGCGGUCGGCCGGGAGCCGGGGAGCUUCGUUGCUGGGAGCGGGCGGUAUUCGCGGACUCCGGCGGCCCUGGCGGGUCGCGGCCGGGAUCCGAGCCGGGGAUGACGAUGCUGAUGGAGCUGAUGGGGCAAGAGUGGGAACGGAGGCACGUACACUGAAAUUUAAGUCAUCCAAGUUGGGACUUAAGAUAGCAGGUUAAUAUUGUCUCAGGCGAGACUUAGAACGUCUUUUCUGGUAUCCCAGUCUGCAGUGGGCAAAUCUAUUGUCUUUAUUUCUCAUUUAAGGGCAGAAUGGAGGGAUGACAUAUUUUUACUUUUCAAGAGGCGGUUGCCACUUUUAAGUCACUGUUGUGUGUGUGUGUGUACAUACACAAACAUACGAUAGUGUGUUUUCAGAGCAAGUAUCAAAGGCUAAAGACUUGGAGUGAUACUAGUGUUUAAAAGCCUUUUUAAAAAAAUUAAGAUGUGAUGAGAAACUGGAGAAUUGACUUUUAAAAAUUUCUUUUCUGUAGAAGAGGCUAUCUUCAAAAUGGAGUCCUAAAGUAUAUCUGAUGGAUAGAAUUUAAAUUCUUAACACUGUAUAUACCCUGUGGUCAAAAGCAUCAACGUAAAACUUGAUGUUUAUCAGAUUACUUAUGUUUCAAUUUUCCUGUGGUUAGAAAAAUUAAGACAGAAGUAAGCUAUUAACGGUAUUUGCUUGUAAGAGUAACGUUAAAGGUUUAAGGAAAGGUUUGUUGAAAUCGAUAUGCAUCACACGAAUCAUUUAUUUUCAAUGUUGUUUUCCAGUUGCAGCAAUCAUUUGUGUUUACAUGACUUUGAAAAAGGGUUUAGUUUAUGUUGAUUUUGACCCUCUUAUUUAAUCUCUAGUGCAGAAGUGCAGCUUUCUGCAGGCUGCGCCUCAAUCGCUAAAUAGAUUUCUGGAUGAUUUGGCCCAAAAAAUCUGAUAAGCUUUGGGGAAUUUUUUAAUUUUUUUUUCUCUUAAAGAGAAAUCAGAAAUGUGGGAUUUUUUUAAAAAUUUAUUUUCAGUAGAUAUUGGAGAUUAUGCUUUGUACAUUAAAUCCAGUUUGAUUUUUAAGUGAUAAUUUUCAAUUAAAGACUUUUUAAUAAGACAACUAAAAAAUUAAAUUUUAGUCAAUUACAAUAAUAUUUUUUGGAGAAGCAUUCCCAGAUGUGCUUUUGACGGGGAGUUGAUUUCAUUAGUUGUUUGGGUUGUUUAAUCCAGAAUUUUUAAAACUGUUAUGGGUUUAAUUUGCUACAUUUGUCCAUUCUUAUUCAUUUCAUCUGUUUUGAUCACUGAAAAGUUGUCUAAAAACUGUGCUCAUUAUACACAGUUUAUAGUAUUUUAAUACUUUGUUUAUAGUAUUUAAUAGCUUCUGAAAACUUUAAGAGAACAUACUAAACCAAGGAACUAUUUAUUAAUGGUAAUCUAUAUUUAGUAAUAAAUAUAUUUGUAACUUACUAAAUGUAAGUUUACUAAAUGUAGAUUACUAAAUCACUGAGUAAAUAUUUCUUGAAUAUUUGGACAAGAGAUGGGGGGAGGGAGAAUGACUUGACCCUCAAGAAACUUAACUGCUACCUUUAAAAGGUUAUAAUGAAGCUGGGCACAGUGGUACACACCUGUAGUCCCAGCUACUCAGGAGGCUGAGGCAGGAGGACCCCUUGAGCCGAGGAGUUCGAGGCUCUGUCUCUUAAAACAAAAAAAGUUAUAAAAAUAUUCAGACUGGAGGGUUCCUAACUUUUAAUACUUAAGCAGGGUCUUUACCACAGAGUUAAAUUUAAAAUUCUGUUUAGAAUGGUAACAAAUUUAAUUAUGUACAAAACAGCAUCACUUUAGUGUUAGGAUCAGUGUUACUCAAAGUGUUGUAAUGUUAAUAACAAGCAUUUAAAUCACAUUGUUUGAAAACUGGGAUCUACAAAAAAUAUGAUUCCAAUAAUUAACUUUUUAAUUAUGGGAAAGGCAAGGGAAUGUUCAGUGAAUGUAAAAAAAAUAUACUACUGAGCAAACAAAUUGUUUUAAUGAAUUUUGAUUUUCUGUUUUAAUUUUUUGGUACAUUGACUCUUCUUGACAUGGCACUUUGCUAUUAAUUAAAAAAAAUUAAACCCCAAAGACAAAUUAAUUCUGUAUUUAAUGCAGAUUUAAUUCUUGACUAGCUGUAAUGCUUAAGGAGUUGGCAGUCUUGUUGGCAAAACA